AGGACUAGGGGGAGUCACAUCCUACCAAAUCCUGAUGAACUCCGAAUGCUAUUCAGACAUACUCUGCAGUGAGGGUUUGGGUGCUAAGGUCCAAAUCCGAGAGGGAAAGAACCCAGAUCUACUGCUAAGGUCCCAAAAUGUAUACUAAGUUGAACUAAGGAGGUUCAGUUGCAUAGACAGCCAGGAUGUUGGCUUGGAAGCAGCCAUUCAUUCAAAGAGUGCGUAACAGCUCACUGGUCGAGCGACAGGGCAUCGAUAAUAAACGGGCAUUAAGUAUAGUACCGAAGCUACGGACCCGCAAGGGUGGUAGGAGAGCAUUCCUAUGGCGGUGAAGGUGAUCUGUGAGGAUUGCUGGAGCGAUGGGAAAAGAAAAUGUAGGCAUAAGUAACGAUAAGGCGGGUGAGAAACCCGCCCACCGAAAGACUAAGGUUUCCUGAUCAACGCUAAUCGGAUCAGGGUUAGUCGAGACCUAAGGUGUAGCCGAAAGGCGAAGCCGAUGGCAAACCGGUUAAAUAUUCCGGUACCGAUUGUAGCGCCAGGCUAAGGCGUGACGCAGAAGUGACACUCCCGCGUGCUGACGAAUGCACGUUAAAGGGCGUAGGCCGGGGGGCAGGCAAAUCCGCCUCCCGUUAAGGCUGAACCCCGACAGUACCCAGAGGCUACGGCCAACGGGAUAGUGGAGGUAAUCCAGCUGCCGAGAAAAGCGUCGUAGUUUGUUACAAUCGCUCGUACCCCAAACCGACACAGGUGGGUGAGGAGAGUAUCCUAAGGUGCUCGAGUAAUUCAUGGCUAAGGAACUAGGCAAAUUCGAUCCGUA
rnacentral:rRNA from 1 species